rnacentral:rRNA from 1 species
CGGGGUGCAGCAGGCGCGAAACCUUCCCAAUGCGCGCAAGCGUGAGGGGGGUACUCCCAGUGCCUCCCACGUGGAGGCUUUUCCUCGGUGGAAAUGGCCGAGGGAAUAAGGGGUGGGCAAGACCGCUGCCAGCCGCCGCGGUAAUAGCGGCGCCCCAAGUGGUGAGCUCAAUUAUUGGGCCUAAAGGGUCCGUAGCCGGGCAUGUAAGUCCUCUGUGAAAUCCUCCAGAAGACUGGAGAACUUGCAGAGGAUACUGCAUGUCUUGGGACCGGGAGGGGCCGAGGGUACUCACGGGGUAGGGGUGAAAUCCUGUAAUCCCGUGGGGACCACCUGUGGCGAAGGCGCUCGGCUGGAACGGUUCCGACGGUGAGGGACGAAAGCCAGGGGAGCAAACCGGAUUAGAUACCCGGGUAGUCCUGGCUGUAAACGAUGCUCGUUAGGUAUUGGCCUCUCUUCGGGAGGGGUCAGUGCCGUAGCGUAGGCGUUAAACGAGCCGCCUGGGGAGUACGGUCGCAAGGCUGAAACUUACAGGAAUUGGCGGGGGAGUACACAAGGGGUGGAGUCUGCGGUUCAAUUGGACUCACCGCCGGAAACCUUACCAGGGGCGACGGCAGGAUGAAGGUCAGUCUGAAGGGCUUACCAGACACGCCGAGAGGUAUUGCAUGGCCGACGUCAGCUCGUGCCGUGAGGUGUGCCGCUAAGCCGGUUAACGAGCGAGACCCGUGCCCUCUGUUGCUACCUCUAUCUUCGGGUAGAGGGGCACUCAGGGGGGACUGCCUGCGUUAAGCAGGAGGAAGGUGCGGGCGACGUUAGGUCAGUAUGGUCCGAAUCUCCUGGGCUACACGCGGGCAACAAUGGCCGGGACAAUGGGAUGCGACCCCGAAAGGGGAAGCCAAUCCUCGAAACCCGGUCUCAGUUCAGAUCGAGGGCUGCAACUCGCCCUCGUGACGCCGGAAUCCCUAGUAGUCGAACGUUAGCACCGUUCGGCGAAUACGUCCCUGCUCCUUGCACUCACCGCCCGUC